UACGUAGGUGGCAAGCGUUGUCCGGAUUUACUGGGCGUAAAGAGCGCGCAGGCGGUCGUUCAAGUCGCGUGUGAAAGCCCCCGGCUCAACUGGGGAGGGUCACGCGAUACUGAUCGACUCGAAGGCAGGAGAGGGAAGUGGAAUUCCCGGUGUAGUGGUGAAAUGCGUAGAUAUCAGGAGGAACACCGGUGGUGUAGACGGCUUUCUGGACCGUAACUGACGCUGAGACACGAAAGCGUGGGUAGCAAACAGG
rnacentral:rRNA from 1 species